rnacentral:tRNA from 1 species
GCCCGGUUAGCUCAGUCGGUAGAGCGCCGCCCUCACAUGGCGGAGGCCAAUGGUUCGAGUCCAUUACCGGGCA